UUUCAAACUUCCGGUCACACCGUCAAUACGUGGAUCAAAUAUACACGUGAAAAGGGGAAUACUGACUUGACUUGGAGUGCAUCUGCCUAAUGAGGGACAUGGCCAUCAUGGAGAUCAUGGUGAUGACCAUCGUGGAGGUCAUCGAUGAUAUCAUGGUGAUGACCAUCGUGGAGGUCAUCGAUGAGAUCAUGGUGAUGUCCAUCGUGGAGAUCAUGGUGAUGGCCAUCGUGGAGGUCAUCGAUGAGAUCAUGGUGAUGGCCAUCGAUGAGAUCAUGGUGAUGGCCAUCGUGGAAGUUAGGG